GAUGAACGCUGGCGGCGUGCUUAACACAUGCAAGUCGAACGAGCAAUGGAGACGGAAACCUUCGGGCGGAAGGCUUCAUUUCGAGUGGCGGACGGGUGAUUAACGCGUGGGUAACCUGCCUCAUACAGGGGGAUAACAGUCGGAAACGACUGUUAAUAUCGCAUCAGACCACAGCACCGCAUGGUGCGGUGGUAAAAACUCCGGUGGUAUGAUAUGGACCCCCUUUCGAUUAGCAAGUUGGCGGGGUAACGGCCCACGAAAGCGACGAUCGAUAGACGAGAUGAGAGGAAGACCGGCGACAUUUGGACUGGGAAGCGGCCCGAACUCCUACGGGAGGCAGCAGUGGGGAAUAGUGCACAAUCGGGGGAGCCCUGAUGCAGCGCCGACGGGUGAGUGAUGAAGUACGUCGGUAUGUAAAGCGCUAGCAGCAGUGAAGAUAAUGACGGUACCUGAGCAAGAAGCCCCGGCUAACUACGUG
rnacentral:rRNA from 1 species